rnacentral:rRNA from 1 species
UACGUAGGGUGCAAGCGUUGUCCGGAAUUAUUGGGCGUAAAGAGCUCGUAGGCGGUCUGUUGCGUCGGCUGUGAAAACCCGGGGCUCAACCCCGGGCCUGCAGCCGAUACGGGCAGACUAGAGUUCGGCAGGGGAGACUGGAAUUCCUGGUGUAGCGGUGAAAUGCGCAGAUAUCAGGAGGAACACCGGUGGCGAAGGCGGGACUCUGGGCCGAUACUGACGCUGAGGAGCGAAAGCGUGGGGAGCAAACAGG